rnacentral:rRNA from 1 species
CCCUUAGAUGUUCUGGGCCGCACGCGCGUUACACUGAUGCAUUCAACGAGUUCUUCCUUGGCCGAGAGGCCUGGGCAAUCUUUUGAACGUGCAUCGUGAUAGGGAUAGAUUAUUGCAAUUAUUAAUCUUGAACGAGGAAUUCCUAGUAAACGCAGUUCAUCAAACUGCAUUGAUUACGUCCCUGCCCUUUGUACACACCGCCCGUCGCACCUACCGAUUGAAUGGUCCGGUGAAAUCUCGGGACGGCGGCUUGGUCGCUUGCGUCCGACUGCUGAAACUUGAUUAAACCAUAUCAUUUAGAGGAAGGUGAAGUCGUAACA